rnacentral:rRNA from 1 species
AACGAACGCUGGCGGCAGGCCUAACACAUGCAAGUCGAGCGGUCACGCGGGGCAACCUGGCGACGAGUGGCGAACGGGUGAGUAAUAUAUCGGAACGUGCCCAGUCGUGGGGGAUAACUGCUCGAAAGAGCAGCUAAUACCGCAUACGACCUGAGGGUGAAAGCGGGGGAUCUUCGGACCUCGCGCGAUUGGAGCGGCCGAUAUCAGAUUAGGUAGUUGGUGGGGUAAAGGCCUACCAAGGCGACGAUCCGUAGCUGGUCUGAGAGGAUGAUCAGCCACAUCGGGACUGAGACACGGCCCAGACUCCUACGGGAGGCAGCAGUGGGGAAUUUUGGACAAUGGGGGCAACCCUGAUCCAGCCAUGCCGCGUGCGGGAAGAAGGCCUCGGUUGUAAGUACCGU